AGAAAGGAAUAGAAAUAGGGAGAAAGAAAAUUAUAGAGAGAGGAGGAAAGUUCUAGAGAGAGAGAAGGAGGUAGCCGCCGCUCCGGCCACGAGGAGUCCGGUUCCGGCCGAGCCUUCUUCAUGAAAUCUUCACAGAACUUAGAAGAGAACAUUCUUAACUUUUAGAUCAUCGAAAACCAUCAAGAAAUGAGGAAAAAUCUAAAGAGGAUUACGCUCAAAACCUGAGAAGGAAGUUGUAAUCGAUUCAGAUCGGAAAUGGGAGUUUCGGCGUUCGUCAAAGAGGGUUUAAAUGAGAAAAUUCAGUAUUUGUGGACACUCUACUGGUGUAGAAAUGCUCAACGAAGAACACGCGUCAAUCGGGUGCCGGUCGAGGUGGAGGAGCGUUCGAGAGCUGUGCGGUCACAGAGGGGGUCGUUCCGGAGCGUCAGUCCCUUGUCGGUCUUUUCGAGUCUUUUGUGUUUCAUUUUACAUUUGUAAUUUUCUUUGUAAUAAUUUCGAAACAAAUCUUCUCUCUCUUGUUUUAACCAAAUGGAGUUUUUAUCUUUUUACUUUUCUCUUCUUCUAUUUUCUUUUUGUUUAUUUUCGAUUUCGUCUUUUAGUUCACGGUCUGAUUUUCGAAGCCUUGAAAAUCGGGUCUUGACAGAUUGGUAUCAGAGCAGUCGGUUUUUGAUUCUGUAGACUUUAUUUUUAGGAUAGAGAGUCGUACACCUCUGUGACUCAGCUCGACAACACGCCUCGCCGCGACCAGGUAUGCAGUCUAACCCUGUUUAGUAGAUUAUGUUAUGAUGUAAAGCAUGGGAAUUUGAUGUUUGUCUUAGGUUAUGUGGUAGCUAUGAUUAUGCCUUAGGGCGAUAAAUAAUGAAUGAUCACUCUAUACGUCAAUGCUAGAUACGAGUUAUUGCGAGGAGGCCGAGAGAGGUCAUGUUAUAGCUUACUAGCCUUAGGGAGAUAGAGAGAUGACGUCGCAGAGUGCGAGACGUCCAAAGAUGAACAUGAGACUUUCUAAGGCCUAGUACGAGGUGAAUUACCUAGGACCCAGCCUCCUGUGACCAUAAUUCUUGAUGACAAGCAUGCCUCCGUGGAGAGCAUGUAGAAGGCUUAGACAGUAUAGAGCAUGCCUUAGUAUAAACCACAAAGGUAGACCCAAGCAAUAUUGUUCGUACAACCAAAGACGAUCACUAUAGGAAUUAAAUACCCCUCAAGCAAACCAUUACCUCAACUGAGUUUUGGUUAAGUCGGGAAGUCGAGAGAUAAAAUUCACCAACAAUGAGAGUGAAGCGAUGAAGGUCAUGACUUCAAGGUUUGAUUGGAGUCUUCACAGGCUAAAUUCAAGUUUAUGGACUUCCAAAAGUGUGAUGUGCCCUUUUAUGCCACUAAUGGGAUAUGGGGUGUAGGAUAUUCCUAUGGAUGGAUCACCUAAUGGAUGACAAGUCGUUUUGGACCCUGGAGUAGAGGACCGAGUCCAAUAGCAGCACGUGGUUAUGAGGAUCAUAUGAACGUGUUCUAACUUAUUCUUGGUCAGAACAUACAUGCUUACAAACGUGAAAACUGUUAAGGUAAUCCAGUGAACCUUAAGAUUAAGAACAGCAGGAAAAAGCGGUCAAGCUAUGGCCAUGCCUUCGUGUCUGGAGGGAGAAAGUUCAUAUGCAUGUUAGUAAGAACCAACCCUUGUUUAGGUUAUCUGGAUUACAAAGAGUAGAACUCUAUUUUUACACAUAAGUGUAAGACCAUACUUGUGAAGCAUGCUCAGACAGAAGUAGAGACGCUAGAUAACGUGAGAUUGGAAACUACCUGAAGAGUAGUGAGAUGGUGAUAGUACAUUAGUAAGGGAAGCAGAAGACAUAAUGCGUCUUAGGGAAAACCUUGGACAUAGAUAAAAGUAUCCUCAGAGCUUGAGGAAGACUAGUUACCAAACAAGAGUUUUUAGAGAGUUUCAUAGGAUCCUUUACAAAAACUUGAGAGAUGCACACGCACGAGCCAAUAUAAGAUAUGACUACGAAAGGAAAUGUGACUUGAUCAACCAUAAGACACUACAGGAGUUGACCUAAGUGAAUGUAGAGGACUUAUACGAGGAACCUUUACUUUCAAAAGAGCCUGCAUUUAGCUCAGAUGAGUAUUAGUACUCAGGCGAGCUACAUGACAAGUUAUCUUGUUGUGAGGAAAGACCUAUGUUGGCCAAUUGGGAGCUAAUUACGAGACCAUUCUUGGUGAAGUAGUAGGUUUGUAAGGGUCUCGACAAGUUUAGGAUACCUCAUAUGAGGAUCAGGGAGAGAGAUAUAUCGAAGACAACUACUAGGAGCAAUCACGAGGAAGGAAAGUUUAUUGAUAAGUCUUUCGACCUAAUCAAUGUCUUGCUAAGGUUUAGGUUAUGACUAAUCGAACGUUUAAGGAAUUUUCUUGUUAUCGUCAGAGACGACUUCAAUGACGAUAUGUCGUUGUACACCAAGAUGGAGUUAGUUGGCAAGGAGGGGAAAGUUAUGAUGGUGUUAUGAACAUAACAAUUGUACGCUAAGUUCCCUAAGAGCAAGUUUUGGCUGUCUGAGAUGACAAUUGAGGUUAUGUGUAGUCAAACAGAAAGAUCACAGUGAACCCCGCUAAGUUUGAUGCAGUUACGAGGUGGUCAAGACUGACCACAGUCACUGAGUCAUGUAGUUUAUGGGGGUGUAUGGAGAAAUUGAGAAUGCCCAAAAAAAAAAAAAAAAAAAAAAAAAAAAAAAAAAAAAAAAAAAGGGAAGAGAAGGAAAAACGGCCGGAAAGAAAGGAAUAGAAAUAGGGAGAAAGAAAAUUAUAGAGAGAGGAGGAAAGUUCUAGAGAGAGAGAAGGAGGUAGCCGCCGCUCCGGCCACGAGGAGUCCGGUUCCGGCCGAGCCUUCUUCAUGAAAUCUUCACAGAACUUAGAAGAGAACAUUCUUAACUUUUAGAUCAUCGAAAACCAUCAAGAAAUGAGGAAAAAUCUAAAGAGGAUUACGCUCAAAACCUGAGAAGGAAGUUGUAAUCGAUUCAGAUCGGAAAUGGGAGUUUCGGCGUUCGUCAAAGAGGAGAAAGGAGGAGGCUGCGCUUCGCCGGAGGAGAAGGGCCACGUGUCAAGCGUCCAUUGGAGAAGAAAAAAAAUCAAAGAAAUACUUCGCGUCGGGCGGGAUUCGAUGGCCGGCGGCCCGCUACUCGAGUUCGCGACCCGAUGACCCGCGCGCAACCCGGACCACCGACCCGGCUUCUCGUUGCCACGCGUCAGCGUAAAAGAAUUCGAAUUUCCAGCGCGUCCUUCCGGUUUCGAACCGACGACCUCGACCUCGGCUGACCGUUCAUCGGGGCGCCACGUGGCAACACCUCAGCGCGCGUCUCCCCUCCCUCAUGCGCGUCCGUACGCGCGCGUGGCCGUGCGCGUGUAGCUCCUUCCCAGGCGCGUGUGAGCGCGUGAGGGUUUAAAUGAGAAAAUUCAGUAUUUGUGGACACUCUACUGGUGUAGAAAUGCUCAACGAAGAACACGCGUCAAUCGGGUAAGUCACCACCUGGAACUUUAGGAAGAAAUACUUGCAGGAGUCGCUUGGUUAUGCAUGCAUGCUAGUUUAAUUACCUUAGGUGGUAUUUUUCCAUGAUUGAAUGUAAGUAAUUUGAUUG